rnacentral:rRNA from 1 species
GACGGAGGGUGCAAGCGUUGCUCGGAAUCAUUGGGCGUAAAGGGUGCGUAGGCGGCUUUUUAAGUCUGACGUGAAAGCCCAAGGCUCAGCCUUGGAAGUGCGCCAGAAACUGAAAGGCUUGAGUGCCGGAGGGGAGAGUGGAAUUCCUGGUGUAGCGGUGAAAUGCGUAGAUAUCAGGAGGAAUACCGGUGGCGAAAGCGACUCUCUGGACGGUAACUGACGCUGAGGCACGAAAGCGUGGGGAGCAAACAGG